GCUGGCGGCGUGCUUAACACAUGCAAGUCGAACGGUGAAGCCCCGCUUGCGGGGUGGAUCAGUGGCGAACGGGUGAGUAACACGUGAGCAACCUGCCCCUGACUCUGGGAUAAGCGCUGGAAACGGCGUCUAAUACUGGAUACGAGACGUGAUCGCAUGGUCAACGUUUGGAAAGAUUUCUCGGUUGGGGAUGGGCUCGCGGCCUAUCAGCUUGUUGGUGAGGUAAUGGCUCACCAAGGCGUCGACGGGUAGCCGGCCUGAGAGGGUGACCGGCCACACUGGGACUGAGACACGGCCCAGACUCCUACGGGAGGCAGCAGUGGGGAAUAUUGCACAAUGGGCGCAAGCCUGAUGCAGCAACGCCGCGUGAGGGAUGACGGCCUUCGGGUUGUAAACCUCUUUUAGCAGGGAAGAAGCGAGAGUGACGGUACCUGCAGAAAAAGCACCGGCUAACUACGUGCCAGCAGCCGCGGUAAUACGUAGGGUGCAAGCGUUAUCCGGAAUUAUUGGGCGUAAAGAGCUCGUAGGCGGUUUGUCGCGUCUGCUGUGAAAUCUGGGGGCUCAACCCCCAGCCUGCAGUGGGUACGGGCAGACUAGAGUGCGGUAGGGGAGAUUGGAAUUCCUGGUGUAGCGGUGGAAUGCGCAGAUAUCAGGAGGAACACCGAUGGCGAAGGCAGAUCUCUGGGCCGUAACUGACGCUGAGGAGCGAAAGGGUGGGGAGCAAACAGGCUUAGAUACCCUGGUAGUCC
rnacentral:rRNA from 1 species